CUGCAGGACAACACGGUUAGGCAUUGUAAUACAGAAAUGGAUCAAACUCCUGAGGCGGGAAAGCAAUAAAUCGUCUUGUGGAGACUUGGGGAAAGUCAGGAAGAGCAGUCAUCCUGGAAGGUAAGCAAGACAGGCGUCCUGAUUGACAAAAGAAGAAAUCAAGGCUCAGAGUGACUGAGGCAGCCAAGAAACAGUGGAGCAGAAAUAAUCUAACUCCUCACAUUCAAGUCUCUGGUCAUCUGUGGCUGCUCGCUUCCGAAUGGCCAACCCACAUGGAGUGGCCCCACUUCCUUCGGCUCCUUAUUUGAAGCUGCUAAAUAUAGCAACAUUCUCCCCUUUUUCAUACAAUCGUGAAUUCACUUCUUCCAAUUGUAAUGACAGAAAAAUGGAUAAGGUGACAACCAGUCUUCCCUGGAAUCUGUCACUAAGACUUCUUGAGACCCUGAGGUCCCUGACAUCUUUCAAUGUCCUCAACAGAAGGAAACAAAAUCACACCAAGGUAACACUGCUUGAAGGAGAAACGUCCUCAAGGUUACAUCAAUGCUGGCACCAAACCUAGUACUGUCUGGCUUUACAUCAGCCCAGUGCUUGCCCCAGCCCUCAUUCACUCUCUCUCUUUGGUCACUAUGCCCAACAAAUGGAUCACUUUCUACCAAUCAAAUUUCACCCGCAAUGGAUGUGAAUUUCCCUGACAGUCUAACAAAUAUUUAUCCAACAAAUUCAUGAACGAGAAUUGAUCUUGCUGUUUACUCUGAAAGCUGAAGGAGUUGACUCUUACAUGGCUUUAUUUUUUCCCCCUCUGGAGAAAUUAGAGAGUUAGGAUAGCACGGGAGAAAGCAAAUCAAUGGCUAUUUCCAGUUACCAGCAUCUGUCUUCAGAUUUAAUAGAAAUGAUGCCCUGAGCCACGCUGUCUACUCAGGCUCCUCACUGGAGAAACACCCCAUCGAUAUUAGGGUAAUGCAUGAGGAAUGCCUUCCCUGGUCCUCUGGAAAUGUAGACAAGAGCCUCGCAACUGUUGCAAGACGCACAAAGCCCUUCUGGAUGAGAAGUGAUCAAUUCCAUCCCAUAAUCAGAGAAAUGAAAGCAGCAACCCUCUCUGAAAUGGCUCUGGUCCACCUGAGGCAUAGCUGUGAGAGGAUUUGGAAUACAUCAUCUGACUUGCCUUCAGGGAGGGCUAGACAGCAGGUGCAUGUACCACCCUUCUAGCCAAUAUUCAUGGCAGACAUCACUAAUCAAAAUCUGGCAUGCUCUUCCAAUCCACAUAGAUAAGACCUUAGGAUUCUUCUUAAAACAAUAUUCCAAGCAUCCAUCCCCUGUGGAAUUAUACACAAUUUUAAAAAAAACCCCACUGGCUACCUCUGAGCUAGAGGCUACUGGGCUUGACAGGUUAAAACUUCUGGUAUGAGAAUUAAGGAGUCAAACCUUAUACAGGUCAAAUAUACAACUCCUGCUUUCCUGUCUGUGAGUCAGUGUCCCCAACCAAAGCCACAAACCAAAUGGUUUUGUUUUAUAGUCAGCCUCUCACCGACACUCUUCCUACAGUCGCAUAGUUCUGUAUCUACAGGAAGUCUCCAACACCCUUUUAAAGGGGAGAUUUUUUCAAAUGUUCAUUAAUUUUCACCAUGCCACCAGCCAAUAGGUCUCUACCAAUCCCCCUUAAGGAAGCCCUCUGUCUCUCAUUGCCUGAAGUGUGUUCUUCAAGCCUUCUUGCUAGGGGCUAACUCUGCCCUUUUUAUAGAUCCAUGUCUUUCCUAUUACCGAUUCCCAAUAGCCCUAACCAAUGGUAACACAGAAAAACAUCCAUUACUUGCACUUUCCCUUCUGCACACAAAGACGCUACCCUCCCCGCCCAGAUUCACAGCCAGUUGUCUAUACUCAGCUAUGCAAAGUGUGCUCCACAUGUCAUCAGCAUGCGUAUCACUUAGGAACAUGUUCGUAAUGCACACCAGAGCUACUAGAUCAGGCCUGCAGUGCCUCAGGCUAGCAAGAGCUCCAAAUGCAGAGUGUGUCUUGAAAUGGGAGGCUCACACUCGCUCACUCCCUUCUGGGUUACCCCCUCAGUCCUCAUCUCUUCUAAUAUGAAUCAUUAACCACAGAAGAUUUAGCAUCAAAUGAGUGGAUCUAGCAAUACACAUAUGAAUAGCAGAAUAAACAAAAUGUCACUUGCACUGUCUUUGAGGUCCAGAGAUUUCUAUCCAUCCUUCAAGCCCAGUGUCAGUGGCCCCAUGUCUGGAAGCCUCCUCUGCUCUACACUGAGGACAAGGAAAGUCGGUGCAGGGAGGAUGGAGAGGAUGCUAACGGAACAGCCUGUCUCUAAACAGCACGAGAGCACCCAGAACCUGAAGCCUGCUGCCUUAAAGAAUGGCGUCAGGAGUCUGUAUGACUUCUAUAGAAGGCCCUGGCCACUACCAAAGGCAGGAACUCCCACCCAGAAUCCAGAAGAGAGGACGAACAUUGCUUUGAAGAUAAGGCCCCAUGUGAGCUGACUGCAGUGUGGAUCUCCUGUCUGGGCUCUGAACCAGGAUGCUCACACCUCACUGCCUCUCUCAAUCUGCUUAAGAACCUUCUCCGAGCUCCACCUUUGCACACACGUCCCCGAUUCUUCUCUUUCCCUCUCUUUGUCUCGGGCAUUUCUCAUUUGGAGAACAAGGAUCUCAGAGUGGAAAUGUCAGUCAUUUGUCUUCCCAUUUCCACAACCCACAGAAAGCUUUCCUGGCACCCCAGUGCCUCCCAGAUGCCAGAGCGCACAGCAGUCACCAGCAGGGGUGGUUUAAAUCAUCAGCUACCUUGCCCCAUGCUUCAAGUCUACCAGCUCCAGCUCUGCGUAUCCGUCAGUGUCCUGUGGAAACUUGGAGCUGAUCAGCAGACUGUGCUGCGAUGGUCACCACUCUAACCCUGAGUCCUCCUUGGUCCAAGAAAGGGUUCUAAGUGUUUCCUGCCCACAUGUUCCUUUGAUUGUGAGGAGCAAGGCAAAAGGCAUACGCGGCUGCUUUGUUAAACUGGAAAACACUCAAAAUCAAAACAGACGAGGCUCAUUGCUCCUCCGCUUUGUGUCGACACCGCCAAACUUCUAGUCCCACUCCCAGAAAGUCUGUGUUACUCUCCACCUCACAACCCACUCUCGACGCACUCCUAAGGAUUUCAGGCAAGGCCGUGAUUGAUGCAAAAUCAUGCCAACGCACACUGGCCACCAUUCAGGCCAGGCACAGGUUGUCUUCCGGAAAGCCAGAUACCUGAGGCUUGCACACAAACAGGAGACCUGGGUUUCCUAGGAGCAGCUUCAGGCUAGCAUCAUCCAUCCACGCCCUGUCCCCAAGAGAAGGCCUUUUAGAUGACAAGACACUCAGAAUCAGUAGAGACAAAUUCAAAUGCUCAACCUAGCAGUGUGGAGCCAAGGAGACAGGAGUAGGAAAGGAGAACCACAGAUUUAACAUGGUUCCCUGUGCGUCAUUAAGGAGCAUGGACUGUCCUGGCAACCUAA